GAUGUAAGAAGAACGGCUAAGUUCGCGCUGUCUUGGCGCAACGCCUUUCUGACCAACAUCCUGUUGC
rnacentral:sRNA from 2 species